ACAAGCUUAAUGUUGUUUCCAAGAGAGCUUCAGGCGGCAAGACUUGAACGUUGCAAUGACUAUCAGCCGUGGAGAAUCGGUUGCAGAAGAAACCCAUCACUGAUCUCCACAAGCGUGAUGCUCACUUUCAGCAAAAAGCUUUCGUAGGCUGGGCUAGAUGUUGUUUAGACUAUAUGACCCACCCUCUGGAUCUUUUCCCAUGUACGAAAGCUUACUGACCUCACUUUCCACUCGAUGAAAGAUACAAGCUCUCGGUAUGAGAGAAAGCGAUCGGUCCCCACAAACUGAGGUGUCAAGAGGGAAAUGCUGGGCCCAAAGCUGGGUUGAUGAGUGGGUGUGGAAGUUGAUUGAUGAAUUGCUCACGAAUAUCCUGAAUUAAACGUCUGUGAAAAUGAACCAGGUGAACUGUUGUUCGGGUUUGCGGAAGAGAAUGGAGGACGACCCUUCAUUGGAGGAAAUGCUACAAAGGGUCAAACCGUCAUUGUUCCACAAGGUGUGAUCCAUUUCGCUCAGAAUUUGGGGUGCAAACAGGCACAGUUCAUUGCUUCCUUCCCCAACCGAGACCCAGGAACCCAAACAACAGCCUCCACAUUCUUCAGGCUGCCACUCAGUGCCAUCCGCGCCACCACCGGAUUGUCUGAGAAGGAAAUCCAAAAGAUCAUGAAGAGUGUGGCAGCCAAUCUUAACCCCUCCUUGGACAGUGAAUGUGCCAAGAGAUGCGGCAUUAAGCACUAAAUGGAUGUUGUACCAGAAUUUGAUUGAGCUGGCUCAUACCUCAUGAGUGGCCAACACUGCUUUUCAUUCUAAUAAAAGAGCAGAGUGUUUAGUCUCAUGAGUGUCAAAUAAAUUAAUUGCUGGUGACUUGUUUCCAUUGGUGACAUCAUCACAACAUGUUUUGUCACUUGAUAUUGAAACACAUGUGAUUUCAACA